rnacentral:pre_miRNA from 1 species
UUAAUACCCCCUCCGUCUGGAAAUACUUGUCCUAGAAAUGGACGUAUCUGGACUUAUUUUAGUUAUCAAUACAUCCAAUUUAUCCAUUUUGAGGACAAAUAUUCCUGGACGGAGGGAGUGAGAG